GCUGCCCUGGCUGUUUGGAUGCCGGGUUUGGAAGUUUCCAACUGCGGAGCUUGCACUGAUGUUCAGUAACCUUGCAUCCUCUGUGUGCUUCCAGAAAGUUCUCUUCUACGUCUGUGAUGACAAUCAAAGUUGAAAGUAAAUUCAGUGGACUUGUAAAGCCAAAUGAGCAAUGCGUUAAAGUUCUUUUUAAAAUUUACUAUAUGCUGGACCCAAGAAAAAACAAACACAAUAAAUCUGGAAUAUCUGUGCAUGGAAAGUAUUUAUUAAAAGGAUAUUGUAACACGCUGAUUCAGUUUGUUUGGGAAUAUAGUAGUUUUGACUGGGGAUAUGGCUCAAUGAGCAUGCACUUACACACAAAGCCUGAGGAGCUGAGUUCAAAUCUUCAGUACCCAGAUAUUGUCACAUGAUAUUAAUAGAUGCAGUCCUUUGCAGAGCUACUCCAUCUUCCUGGUCUCGUUACUUCAUUCAGGAUGAUUGCUUCCAGUUCCAUAUAUCUACCUGAAAAACAGGGGGAUUUGCCUCUACUAGAAACCAUAGGCUAGCCAAGUGAAAGCCCAGUGACAGAAAUCAACUCCUUCUUUUGAAGCUAUUGACCAGGGAUCUCAUGAACCCACAAACAAUACUGGAUAUUGCCUCUGCUCUUGGUUCCCCACAAAAACUCGACAGUAAGACCCUAUUGCUGAAGACACUAAAUGCAUGGGCUGUAGAGCAAACAAGGAGAAAUCAAGCUGGUGCUGACUUCAAAGCCUCACCUCUACUGGCUAGUUUCAUAGUGGUGAAAGAUGCUAUGUAUGCUACCUGAAGAGAAAAUUAAUCAUCAGCCUUUCCCAACUGUGAGUCCUGAGAGCUACAACAACUGGCCUUGCAAAUAUGCCCACUCGUGCAUUUGAGUAUAUGUCAUGAUCUUUAGGACUCCUCCCAUGGAUAAAUCCAAAGCAUCAAACCACACUUGGCGCUGUCAGCUCCUGGUCUGCUAAAGUUCGAGUGUUUGUUUCUCCUCAAAUCUCAUUCACUGAAAAUUGAACUCCCAAGCGGAUAGUGUUAGAACAUAAAUACUUUCAGCACUGAUUAGAAAUGGAGUUAGUACAUUUAGAAAAGAUAUUUCUGAGAACUAUGAGUUUUCUUCCAUGCUAGUUAGAAUUCUCUGCCAUUGAAGGUUGUAUAGUCUGUUAAUUAUACUUACAAAUGGAGAGAAUUAACAAUAAGAAAUUUUAUAUGAGAAAAAAUAGGAGAUAGAAGAAAAUUCAUAGAUGAAAUUAUAUCAAAUUUUAAUAUCAAAAUCCACAUAGAAAGAUUGUCAAGUGGUAUAUGUUAGAGAAGUCAAAGACGUCCUUCAGAGGAGAAUGUGAGGGUUAGCAGACAAUAGUUUUGAGGGAGACUAAGCAACAUGGUGAUGGGAAGACCCUUGAGACAGACAGAUCUCAAGUUGAAAUGCUACUGUUAAGUGUUUACUACCUUUGG